rnacentral:rRNA from 1 species
AUGACCCGGGCGCCAUGGCCGACCCCUCGCUCCGUCCGGCAGGCCACGGAGCUCCACGCCCUCCUCACCGCGUCCGGCCGCCUCCUCCACCAGCCCUCCGCCGCGCACCUCCUCAACUCCCUCGCCAGCUGCAUUUCCCCCGGCGACCCGCUCCACCUCCGCUACGCGCUCAGCCUGUUCGACCGAAUGCCCUGCUCCACCUUCCUCUUCGACACCGCGCUCCGCGCCUGCUUCCGCGCCUCCUCGGGACCUGAGCACCCGUUCCUCCUCUACCAGCGUAUGCGCCGCGGGGGCGUGCCCCCCGACGCCUUCACGUUCCACUUCCUCUUCAAGUGCUGCUCCCGCGGCCGCGCGCAGGUCCUCCUGUGCCGGAUGCUGCACGCCGCGUGCUUCCGUACCAUGCUUCCCUCCGCAGUGCCGCUCAUUGCGAGCCCUCUCAUCCAUAUGUACGCUGGGCUUGAGCUCCCCGGCGAUGCCCGCCGGGCUUUCGACGAGGCUUCUGUGAAGGACGCGGUUGCUUGGACGACGGUCAUCAGUGGGCUGGCCAAGACGGGGCUGCUUGAUGAUGCGCGGCGCCUUCUGGCGCGGGCUCCAACGAGGAACGUGGUCGCUUGGACUGGUUUGAUUUCGGGGUACUCGCGUGCUGGUCGGGCUGCUGAGGCUGUGGAUUGCUUCAACCACAUGCUUUCUGAUGGCAUUGCACCGGAUGAGGUUACCGUGAUUGGCGUGCUCUCGGCAUGUGCUCAGCUGAAGGAUUUGGAUUUUGGACGCUCACUGCACAUGCUGGUUGGGGACAAGAGGAUGUUGAUGAGUAACAAACUUGUAGUUGCGCUCAUCGACAUGUAUGCCAAGUGUGGUGACAUUGCCUGUGCAAGGGAGGUUUUUGAUGCUUUAGGUAGGGGCCGAGGACCCCAGCCAUGGAAUGCUAUGAUUGAUGGAUACUGCAAGGUAGGCCAUGUUGACAUUGCACGCUCUCUGUUUGAUCAGAUGGCGGACCAUGACAUCAUCACAUUUAACUCGUUGAUCACUGGGUACAUCCAUGGUGGCCGGCUUAGAGAAGCGCUACUUCUUUUCACAAAGAUGAGGAGACAUGGUUUGCGUGCUGAUAAUUUUACCAUGGUGGGCCUUCUAACUGCUUCAGCAAGUUUAGGUGCAUUGCCACAGGGCAGGGCCUUGCACGCUUGCAUUGAGCAGAGGCUGGUGGAAAGAGAUGUUUACCUUGGUACUGCACUCUUGGACAUGUACAUGAAGUGUGGGAGGGUGGAAGAGGCGACUGUUGUUUUCAAACAGAUGAGUGUGAGAGAUGUUCACACUUGGAGCGCCAUGAUUGGAGGUCUCGCAUUCAAUGGGAUGGGUAUGGCUGCUCUGGAGCACUUCUUCUGGAUGAAGUGUGAUGGCUUUCAUGCCAAUUCAGUUACAUACAUUGCUGUUUUGACUGCAUGUAGUCAUUCAUGCCUACUGGAUGAAGGCCGUCUGUAUUUCGACGAGAUGAGAUUGGUGCACAAUGUACGCCCCCAAAUUGAGCAUUAUGGCUGCAUGAUAGAUUUGCUGGGCCGCAGUGGACUUCUGGAUGAAGCUAUGGAUCUUGUGCGGACCAUGCCAAUGCAGCCAAAUGCUGUGAUAUGGGGCUCCAUCUUGAGUGCUUGUAGAGUCUACAAGAACGUCGAUCUAGCUCAAAAUGCUGCAGAUCAUCUUCUGAAGCUAGAGCCAGCUGAGGAUGCUGUCUAUGUCCAGAUGUAUAACAUUUACAUUGAUUCUAGACAAUGGGAAGAUGCAUCAAAAAUAAGGAGAUUGAUGGAAGAAAGGGGUGUGAAGAAGACUGCCGGUUACAGCUCGAUUGCCGUGGCUGGGGAGGUGCAUAAGUUUGUAGUUGGUGACCGAUCACAUCCACGCAGAAUGGAGAUUAUUGUAAUGUUGGAGGAGAUUAGACGCAGUUUAAAGUCAGUAGGAUAUUCACCUAUCACGUCGCAGAUAACAGUGGAUGUCGAUGAGGAAGAGAAAGAACAGGCACUUUUAGCACACAGUGAGAAAUUGGCCAUUGCAUUUGGCCUCAUUAGUCUAGCACCAAACCUACCGGUUCAUAUCAUAAAGAAUCUCCGGGUCUGUGAGGACUGCCACUCUGCAAUCAAGUUGAUCUCAAGGCUUUGGAACCGGGAAAUCAUUGUUAGAGACCGGAGUCGGUUCCAUCACUUCAGGGGUGGAGCAUGUUCUUGCAAUGAUUUUUGGUGA